UCCUCCGUGCCGCAGUAACGCAUUAAGCACCCCGCCUGGGGAGUACGGCCGCAAGGUAAAACUCAAAGAAUUGACGGGGGCCCGCACAAGCGGCGGAGCAUGUGGAUUAAUUCGAUGCAACGCGAAGAACCUUACCUGGGCUUGACAUGCACCGGAAACCUGCAGAGAUGUAGGCCUCUUCGGACUGGUGUACAGGUGGUGCAUGGCGGUCGUCAGCUCGUGUCGUGAGAUGUUGGGUUAAGUCCCGCAACGAGCGCAACCCUCGUUCCAUGUUGCCAGCGCGUUAUGGCGGGGACUCAUGGGAGACUGCCGGGGUCAACUCGGAGGAAGGUGGGGAUGACGUCAAGUCAUCAUCCCCCUUAUGUCCAGGGCUUCACCCAUGCUACAAUGGCCGGUACAGAGGGCUGCUAACCCGUGAGGUGGAGCGAAUCCCACAAAGCCGGUCUCAGUUCGGAUCGGGGUAUGCAACUCGACCCCGUGAAGUCGGAGUCGUUAGUAACCGCAGAUCAGCAACGCUGCGGGGAAUACGUUCCCGGGCCUUGUACACACCGCCCGUCACGUCACGAAAGU
rnacentral:rRNA from 1 species